AAUAUUGGACAAUGGGCGAAAGCCUGAUCCAGCCAUGCCGCGUGAAUGAUGAAGGUCUUAGGAUUGUAAAAUUCUUUCAGCGGGGAAGAUAAUGACGGUACCCGCAGAAGCAGCUCCGGCUAACUUCGUGCCAGCAGCCGCGGUAAUACGAAGGGGGCUAGCGUUGCUCGGAAUUACUGGGCGUAAAGGGCGCGUAGGCGGAUGACUAAGUCGAGGGUGAAAGCCCGGGGCUCAACCUCGGAACUGCCUUUGAUACUGGUCAUCUUGAGUACGGGAGAGGUGUGUGGAACUCCGAGUGUAGAGGUGAAAUUCGUAGAUAUUCGGAAGAACACCAGUGGCGAAGGCGACACACUGGCCCGUUACUGACGCUGAGGCGCGAAAGCGUGGGGAGCAAAC
rnacentral:rRNA from 1 species